CAGGGCAGGAAUUCUGGAGUGUUCCUGGACACCACAGCCCCCGCCCAGGACACAGGUUAGAGACAGAAGGAGGUGCCCAGCACACCGAGGGAGCUCCCAUCAAUCCUGCCUGCAAACCAGAACAGCAGCCCCCCCCCCCCAGCACAGUGAUACCUGUGAAUGGCACAGCACACCUUUUCCUAAAGGACAAUUCCUAAUGCCCUAAGAGACAGCAUUCAGCAUUCAUCCCCCCCGACACCAUUCUCAAUCUUCCAGUCCUCUUCUUGGGAUCCAUAAUCACCAAGAGGGACAAUAGACAAAUGGGCAUCACCCAGUAUGGAGCUCUCCCUGAG
rnacentral:lncRNA from 12 species